AUGUGAACGAGUGUGCGAGUCCAUCCUUACACGACUGCGAACAUGUGUGUGAAGACGCAGAACCUCCGCUGCGUUUUACUUGCUCGUGUUACCCUGGGUUCACGUGGCAGGCUUUCACGCGCUCUUGUGUUAUCGACGACGAGCUGACGAAAUGUGAGUGCGAGGACGAGGGGAAAGAGUGUGUGUUACAAACCAAGGGACGGGGAAAAGCAGUGCCAUCCGCGGCCCGGUUAUGUCCUCGUCAACGGCACUUUUCAAGACGAAGCAGAGUGUGAGAGCGAAGAGAGCGUGAAUUCGUGGUGCGGCAUCAACAGCGAGUGCAUGGAAGGCGAAGGUACUGCGACUUGCGAAUGCUUGGCCGGUUAUGCUAAUGACACGAUCAACUACGGACAGUGUGAAGCCAUAGUCUGCCCUACUGGGACCGUCCUCUCUGAUUCAUCUUGUGUAGGUGAGUCCCCCCUUCAAUAAGUUUGCAUUUUCUUUGUCUUAGUCUACGCAAAUACUCUUAUUCUGUUUUUUUCUUUUUACAAAUAGCUCUUGUUUUGCCUGUCUAAUCGUUGAAUGCCUGAAAAAAUGAUGUGAUAUUUACGCGCGCGCACACACACACACACACACACACACACACACACACAC